AGUGAACGCUGGCGGUAGGCCUAACACAUGCCAGUCGAACGGCAGCACAGUAAGAGCUUGCUCUUACGGGUGGCGAGUGGCGGACGGGUGAGGAAUACAUCGGAAUCUACUUUUUCGUGGGGGAUAACGUAGGGAAACUUACGCUAAUACCGCAUACGACCUACGGUGAAAGCAGGGGAUCUUCGGACCUUGCGCGAUUGAAUGAGCCGAUGUCGGAUUAGCUAGUUGGCGGGGUAAAGGCCCACCAAGGCGACGAUCCGUAGCUGGUCUGAGAGGAUGAUCAGCCACACUGGAACUGAGACACGGUCCAGACUCCUACGGGAGGCAGCAGUGGGGAAUAUUGGACAAUGGGCGCAAGCCUGAUCCAGCCAUACCGCGUGGGUGAAGAAGGCCUUCGGGUUGUAAAGCCCUUUUGUUGGGAAAGAAAAGCAGCAGGUUAAUACCCCGCUGUUCUGACGGUACCCAAAGAAUAAGCACCGGCUAACUUCGUG
rnacentral:rRNA from 1 species